GUAGGUGGCAAGCGUUGUCCGGAAUUAUUGGGCGUAAAGCGCGCGCAGGCGGUUCUUUAAGUCUGGUGUGAAAGCCCACGGGCUCAACCGUGGAGGGUCAUUGGAAACUGGAGAACUUGAGUACAGAAGAGGAAAGCGGAAUUCCACGUGUAGCGGUGAAAUGCGUAGAGAUGUGGAGGAACACCAGUGGCGAAGGCGGCUUUCUGGUCUGUAACUGACGCUGAGGCGCGAAAGCGUGGGGAGCAAACAGGAUUAGAUACCCUGGUAGUCCACGCCGUAAACGAUGAGUGCUAAGUGUUAGGGGGUUUCCGCCCCUUAGUGCUGCAGCUAACGCAUUAAGCACUCCGCCUGGGGAGUACGGCCGCAAAGGCUG
rnacentral:rRNA from 1 species